GUGGUUAUUUGUUUUUUAAAGACUCACUAUCUAGAAUAUUUGUGGCUGAAAGGAUACUAUGGAAUUUGCUUCUAAAUCGCCCAUACCUGGGAGAGGAAGAAGGUGAGAGCAUGGAGGAGACCAAACGGGCUGGCAGAUGGUGAUACUGAAGCCAGGUGGGUUGUUGGAAAGCACUGAACCAACAGAGCAAUGUAACUACAAGAGAAGAGUGAAGGGCCAGCAAAGGAAAAGCAGGUUCCUCCUGGAACGCUGGGUCAGGACAAGUAUGCCAAGACCAUGACAAAAGAAAGAGAGGAAUUAGAAGCUGGUAAGAAUUUAUGUGUAACUAAGGAUUGUGCAAGUAAAUAAUGUAUGUGUUUUUCGAAAGUGAGAGAAGAUAUUUCAGCCAUAUUUUCAUCAUGGGCUAUAAGCCAACACCAAACUACCUACCUCUUUUAUGUCAUAAUUACUGCUACCAAAUAACUUAUUCAUGUCAUUUCCCCCUUUUAUGAAAGAGCAUCCAAAAGAUGCUAAGGUGCAAAGAUAUUGAAAGAGAAAAGCCUGACACUCACCCUCU